UGGUAUCUAUAUGAAGCUGUCUAAUUGGAGCACCGAGAUCACCGAUGUGCUAGCACCUUGUAGAUCUCGCUCCUCAUCCUUAGAUCUAGAUCUCUUCUUCUAGAUCUUAAAGAAAGAGAUCGCUGCACGAACUCUUUCACGCAGAUCCGACAGGAUCUGAACCAGAUCACUAUGAAGAGAAGAAGAAUAUUUUUUCUUCUCUUCUUCUCUCUCUUUUCUCUCUUAGAUCUGAUCUCUAUCAGAUCUGGACAUUGGGAUGUAAGAAAGAAAGAAGAUGGAGGCAUUA
rnacentral:lncRNA from 1 species